rnacentral:rRNA from 1 species
AUUGAACGCUGGCGGCAGGCCUAACACAUGCAAGUCGAGCGGAUGAAGGGAGCUUGCUCCUGGAUUCAGCGGCGGACGGGUGAGUAAUGCCUAGGAAUCUGCCUGGUAGUGGGGGAUAACGUCCGGAAACGGGCGCUAAUACCGCCUACGUCCUGAGGGAGAAAGUGGGGGAUCUUCGGACCUCACGCUAUCAGAUGAGCCUAGGUCGGAUUAGCUAGUUGGUGGGGUAAAGGCCUACCAAGGCGACGAUCCGUAACUGGUCUGAGAGGAUGAUCAGUCACACUGGAACUGAGACACGGUCCAGACUCCUACGGGAGGGAGCAGUGGGGAAUAUUGGACAAUGGGCGAAAGCCUGAUCCAGCCAUGCCGCGUGUGUGAAGAAGGUCUUCGGAUUGUAAAGCACUUUAAGUUGGGAGGAAGGGCAGUAAGUUAAUACCUUGCUGUUUUGACGUUACCAACAGAAUAAGCACCGGCUAACUUCGUG